rnacentral:lncRNA from 1 species
UUCACCAUUUAAGUUGACAAGAUGGGAUUAUGAUCUGUAAGUCUUCUUUCCCUGGAUAUAUUUACGAGAUAUUGAAAUUAUAUAACUUGUAUAAAUGGAUGUAGAUAGCUACGGAUGGAUGGAUAUAUUACUAUAUAUGUAUCUUCCUAUAUCACCUUGUAUGUGUCACCUUGCGUGUGUAUAUUUUAUGUGUAUAAAGAUUUGUGGUGAUACCUACAAAGUGAUAAUAUACAAUAUUUUACGGUGGUGAUGCAUACAAUGAGAUAUAUACACAAUAUGGUAAAUUCAUCUUCCAUUCUUCAACUUUUAAUUUGCAGUUUUUUUCAUUUCUCCACCAAACAGAGAAAGGAUGGAACAAGGGAUUAGGCACAAAAUUGAUGUUUGGAUAUGUGAUUGCGUAAACACGUGUUUGAAAGAAAUUUUCAAAAUUAGUGCUUUAAAAAGCAAACUAUAAGUACUUUGUUAAAAGGAUUUGAGCAUAUUUGGAAGUAAUGAUUGUAGUGAUUCUAGAAAAAGAGACGUGUUCAAUUAAUUUUGUAGAAUUGACUUUGAUAUAGUCAUAUUAUUGUUUGGAUUCAAGCUUCUUAGAGUGAUUUUAAAUUGUCUAACCAACUUAAUUGAUAUACAAAUAUGUUAUUUUUACCAGGUAUGUGAUUUAAAUAUCCUUACCCUCAAUAUUAAUAAUAAUAAAGUACUUUUUAAUUAUUAUGUUUUGAUUUAAAAGUGACUUUAGAAUGAUCAAGUGAUAAGAAUAAAAAGAAAAUAUUUUAUUUCAGAAAAGUUAUAAACUAAAUAUGGCCAUAAGAAAAAUUAUUCUUAAAUGCUUAGGCAAAUUUAGUAUUUCAAUAAUGAAUAAAAUGUGGGUAACUUUUUUUUAGGUGAUUCUAAUCACCUUACCAAGAAACACCUCAAUGUUAGAAUCCACCUCUUGUUAGACAUCUAUCAAAAUUAAUUUGAAAACAUCCCAGUAUAUUAUUUACAAAAUAUCAUAGUUGGAAAUGAAAGAGAAAUUGACCAGUAGCAAAAGUGAUCUCUCAAAAAAAAAUUGUUUGUAUAUCACUCCCCCUUAUAAGUUCAAUAAAUGCUCAAAUCUUGGGUGGAUGACUCAUCUUCAAGACUCUUUAGGCAUAUGUAUGUAUAAAUGCAUCUGUUAAUAAAGGGCCCCUAUAAACAAAACCAAAAUUUCCCCACAUGACUUCUUGCGCAACAAAAAUGGAAUUUUGGGAAACUGAUUGAGCUAAAUCUGAUAAUAAAUCCAUCAAAAUAGCUUAACCCUCAAACCCAUAUUUCCAGAUAAACCAAGGCUGUUUUGGAGAGAUCUUCAUUGGAACCCUCAAGAAGCGUCAACUUCAAGAAGCAUUAAACUGAGGCCUAAAGAUUUAGCAUCUUUCAGAGCUCACAUUAUCUUUUCUCUACUUAGCUCAAAUCUUUAAAGAUACAAACAUAGUCAAUUCAAAACGAGAAACAGGCAACUUUUCUGAUAUUACAUUUUGCCUGAGCCUGAGGUUUCAUCCUGCCAAGUUGCUUGCCAUUGCUUGUCGUAAAAUGUUGUUUCAUCAAUCAACUUCUUUAGAGUCUCUAUAUCUUCAUUCUUUCUUAUCAAAAGAACUCCCACCACAGCAACAAAUAGCAAUGUUUUGCAGAAGAAGUUGCCCAUUUGACCUACUAGUCCUACCCCUGUCAAGCUAUCGACGAAGUAAGCCAUGAAGAACCCCACCAUGGCUGCACGCCCUGCAUCAAAAACCAUUGUACAGCUCAAAUUUACUUCAAUAUGUUAGAUAUGAUAUGAUACUUUGUUCAUCACUAUAUUACUUGUGACUAGUGCGUUCAAAGCUCAGUGAAUUUUUCAACACUAAAUUAUGUGCAAAUAGAAAUUCAAAAAUAUGAUAUAAAAACCAUGGACUUGUCUUGAAAGGCAAAAGCUCUAUCCAAAUCACUUUACUUGUUUCAAAAUUGUUUAAAAGAAUUGUGAUAAAAAUGAAGAGAAACCAAUGUUAUGACUGACCUAUCAUGACAAACAUGAAUGAGAGAGAAUUUUGAAAUAUUUGUUCAAAAUCACUCUAAAACAUGGCCUUAAUCGUACACUUUUAAGCACAAUUUUCAUACAAUCAGAUUGGUUUUGAAUCAUUAAAAGCAUGCUUUUGGAGUGAUUUAAUCAUUUCAAAAUCACUCUCAAGCAGACCGUUUUUUUAGUACAGGUGGAGGGAGGGGAUUUCAACCUCCAAUCUCAAUAUCAAACUACUUAGCUAAGAUCGUUUUGAAAAAGAUGCAUACACAAGGUCUUGGCCUUAUUUCACUCACACGAGCUUUAAGAAAGCAUGACAAAAGAAUCAUGCAAACAUGUUAAUAUUAUACCAUUGAGUAGCUCAGCCUCUGGCAGAUGGUAGCGCUUGAUCCAAGCCCACCAAGGAACUAUGGAUGUGUCAAACACCACAGGGUCCUCAUUACUUGAUGAUUCUGGAUUGUUUUCCAACCACUUCCUCCUCCUAGCCUCUGAUGAAAAGAUCAA